AGCGAACGCUGGCGGCAGGCUUAACACAUGCAAGUCGAGCGGGCGUAGCAAUACGUCAGCGGCAGACGGGUGAGUAACGCGUGGGAACAUACCUUUUGGUUCGGAACAACACAGGGAAACUUGUGCUAAUACCGGAUAAGCCCUUACGGGGAAAGAUUUAUCGCCGAAAGAUUGGCCCGCGUCUGAUUAGCUAGUUGGUGAGGUAACGGCUCACCAAGGCGACGAUCAGUAGCUGGCUGAGAGGAUGAUCAGCCACAUUGGGACUGAGACACGGCCCAAACUCCUACGGGAGGCAGCAGUGGGGAAUAUUGGACAAUGGGCGAAAGCCUGAUCCAGCCAUGCCGCGUGAGUGAUGAAGGCCCUAGGGUUGUAAAGCUCUUUUGUGCGGGAAGAUAAUGACGGUA
rnacentral:rRNA from 1 species